GUGAAUCAUCGAAUUUUUGAACGCAAAUUGCACUCUCCUCGGAGAGUAUGCCUGUUUGAGGGUCAGCCUAUAAAAAAUCGAUAUCGUUGCUGUUUCGCGGUGGCGUUCGUCGGAAAUUGGGUAAUCUUAAAUAUUUUGGUUUUAAGCGACUUAAAAUUUUCUUUUUGGUUCCAUGAACGUUUCUAAGAUUUAUGUCUUUACACGUUUAAGGUAUCGAUUUUUAUUAGACGUGACUAUUAUAUCGGAUAGCGCUCAUAAUCUGUCAUUAACUGAUCUCAG
rnacentral:misc_RNA from 1 species